CAAAAUGUCGCGCAAGAAGAAUGACCUCCCGCUACCCAGACCUUCGCCAGUGUCCCCCACCCCACCCCCACCCGGGCGCUGGGUGUGGAUUGGGCGGAGGGAGGCUAUAUGGGAGCUUAAAGCAUGAGGUCAUGAGCGGAGGAGACUGCUGCCAAAAGCACCCGAGGUUUUUGUGUUUUUUGAGGGGUAACGGUUCUCCAUCUUCAGCAGUGGAAAGUCCUCCCGCCUACCCUACCAAUUCUGGGGCACGUGGACCACAGAGUCCCUGAAAAGAGGAGGGGACCCGGGCUAUUUCGCUUAAUGAGCGUUUGGCGCGUGCCCAGCCCUUUAUGGAGCCCUUCCACAUAAGCAAAGAAAGCCGAGGGACAGCGCACAGUGUUGCGGCGACUGGGAAAGGCUUCAGAUGCUCGAUGUCCCCCGCCCUCUUUCCUCAGUCCUCGGUCAUCUUCCAAGUGGGCUGCUUUCUGCGAUAGCUUCCUGUCCCCCUCCGACCCAUUCCUCCCAAGCGACUAAAACUCCUAAUGACAUUAUUUUAAAGCCUUCAAAACCCUCUUCCAUUGCCCUUAGAAUAAAGCCAAGUUGUGAUUUCGCCUCUACAGACCUCUCUACCCGCCCAGCUCUUCCUCGGAUAUUCUCCUAAACCAGAAGCUGCAGAGAAGGAAGGAUUUGGGAUUUGCGGCUACACAGCCAAGGACGCUUUUGUCAUCUUCAAAGGACCCCCUACACCCUACACGCUUGGCCCGCUCUGUUCAUUGCCAACAGAGUGAUGCUUAUCCCCAUAGCAAAAGACCAUUUUUUAAUGUAAUUUAUUCUUUUGGAAUAGGUUGAAUGCAUUCACAUGGUUCCAAAUUCAAAUAAACAGCAAGAAGUCUCCCUCCCACCCUGUCUGCCACCCACUUGGUUUUCCUUCUCUGGAGGCAACCUGGGUUAGUGGUCAGAAGAUGCAUUUAACUGUUUUCCAGCUGAGGCCUUGUGAGAACUCCUCGGACACCAAUUUAAAUCUUUAUGUCCAGAACUCCUUUCUCCAAUCCAGAGAUGAGGUUCCACCAUUCUUGCCCAGACUGGUUUCGAACUCCUGGACUCAAGCGAUUUGCCUGCCUCGGCCUCAAAAAGUGCUGGGAUUACAUGCAUGAGCCACCACACCCGGACCCUCUCUCUUAAAUAGUGGCCCUUUUGCCUCUCUGCAACACAGGAAAAAUUCUGUUAGCCUGCAUCAGAAGGAGUGGCAUGGAGGCUUUGGAGUUAAGAAGAUUUAAUUCAAAUUAUGUGUCCGGUGCCUGCCAGCAAUGAGACCUUGGUAAGGUUUCUUAACCUCUCUGAGCUGGGACCAUACCUUCUGCGUUGGUUUAAUAUAAAGGUUAAAUGCAUGUAAAUAAAUGACUUCUAAAAUAAAUAACAUUCUAAAAUGUUAGUAACAACUAAAUACAAUAUUUAGAUCUUGUGAGGAUUUGAUUUGAAUAAAUAAGAUUUUUUUAAAAGACAUUUUUGAGACAAAAUGUAGACUAUCUGAUAUUAAGAAAUUAAUCACUUUUUCAGAUAUGAUAAUGGCAUUGCAGUUUUUUUUAAGUUCUUAUCUAUUACAGAUACAUAAUGAGGCAUUUUGAGUGAAAAUAUAUCUAGGAUUUGCUUUCCAAUACUCCAUCCCCUCCCCAUCAAAACACUAAAUAAAUGAAACAAGAUUAGUGAAAUACGGAAAAUUGUUGAAGUUAUUCAUUAUUCCAUUUCCCAUAUGGAACUUUCCAUACUAGUUUCCCUACUGCUGUUGAAUAUUUGACAUGUUUCAAAUACAUUUGAAAUAAAUUUAUUGUCUGAGAUGAUCAGGUUGAAAAAUAAUAAAAUGAAAUAAAUUUAAAAGUAAAAUAAACAUAACCCUUUUAAGCAUUAAAAUUAAAAAUUAUGAGGCUUGUUGAAUUAUUACUGUUAUAAAUAAUUACAUACAUGUAUUUUUGAAACAGUCUUGCUCUUUCACCCAGGCUGCAGUGCAGUGGCAUAAUCACAGUUCACUGCGGCCUCAACCUCCCAGGCUCAGGUGAUCCUUGCACGUCUGCCUCCCAAGUAGCUGGGACUGCAGGUGUGCACCACCAUGCCUGGCUAAAUUUUUCUCUUUUGUAGAGACGGGUUUUGCGAUUUUGCCCACACUGGUCUUAAAGUCCUGGG
rnacentral:lncRNA from 10 species